GACUCAGUGGUGAAGCGGCAUCGUAUCCGCUCCCUGUUCGUAAGGCGAGAAUGUUUCGUUUCUCUGGAAGACACCCGUUCGAUUCGGGGCUGGGUCA